AGUUUCUACUCUAGACAGAUGGGAUGAGACCACGCCUGGCAUCAUGCUUGCAAUUUCUAGGUCCCUUGAGACAAGAGAUGAGGAGAGAUGAACUCAAAGGAAAGAAGCAAAAAUGACUGUGAGACUGAAGUCCCCUUCAUUCCCUGCCCAGGCAGAACCCUCUGCUACCUUAGUCCUGCCACAUCAGACCUAGACAUUUCUGCUGCCAGAGCUAUUAUUGUUCGAUUAACCUUGUUGGAUCUGCUUCUAGGAAAAACCCUAACAAAGCACAUACCACCAUCUAAAGAGCAGGCAGCCAGAAAAGAGGGUGGCUUGUUUUACUGGACUCUGCAUAACACUUUGUUUUGGUUGACACUAAGAAUUCUGGACGUGUAAAUGAAUAUGACUGCUCUGCCAGGCCUUGCAUGCAGAAAGUGAGAUUCACAUAGCUGGCUCUGGUUUUGCGUGUCCUUGCAGCCUGGUCUGUGCUGUGCACAUAUGCAGCACUGGGUUGCAGCCCUCUCCUCACUUCCCCCAGAUGUAAACUGGCUGUGUCUGGCAUAUGGGAUCCUGGAGCAGCAGAGGGUCUCUGCUAUUCUGCGGAUGGAGGUGGGCCAUCUGGACGGGCCCUGUUGCUCCCCUGCCCAGGACUGCACCUCCUCCUCUGUCAUGCAGUGUUGUUAGUCCUCUCACAUGCUGGGGGAGAAUAUGCUUGAGAGGCUGGAGUAUAUCAUCUACCUGCAGGAAGCGGGAGUAUACACGGGGACAGCAGUCCUCAGUGUUGAUACUCCAUAGCAUCAUGGGUGUGUGUGUAUGUGCAGGUGAGCAUUUCACCUCUUAGAAUUCUCUUCUAGGUAUAACGUAGUGCUUUAUGAUUUCUUCUGUGCUGGGAGAUGUGGGGGGCUCCCUGGAACUAUAGACUGCUGUUGACUUUAAAAGCAGCAAUGUCAAACAGAAAUUUAGCGGCUGAAAGAAGCUGCUUAAUUUUCUAAGGCUGUAUAGGUGAGGGGUAUUGUUCUGUGGUCAAAAAGAUCUAAACAGACACAGACUGAGUUUACUGAAAGGUGAGAAUUUCCCAGGUAAGUAUCUGAUGCCAAUCUCUUACUUUGUUCUUAGUGUUAAUAGUGCAAUGACAAUUGCCAGAGGUAAUUCUCCCUAUGUAUUUUGGUAGCUUUCUCCAGUGUAAUGAUGAACAAAUGCCUUGUCUUACAGUGAAAGAGAUUCCUCCACGUAGCCCUGGUCAUAUUGGCCUCUUCUACUAGCAGCCCCAAA
rnacentral:lncRNA from 1 species